rnacentral:sRNA from 1 species
GUUUCUAAAGAGGUGUUUGGACCUUUAAUUAACAUUGACAGCCUGUCUGCUUAGGAUUUUGCUCCGCUGUCUCCAUGGAAAAGUCAGGUCUCUCUGCUCCCUGGUGUGUAAGUGGACAUAUUCAGCAGAGAAAGGCUGGGACGACAGUUUCUGGAAAAUGAUUGGUUUGGAAGACUUUGUUGCAGAUAAUUACAGCAAAAUAGGAAACCAAGUGCUACCUCCUGGAGCUUCUCUUGGAAAUGGGCUCACACCAGAGGCAGCAAGAGACCUUGGCCUUCUCCCUGGGAUUGCGGUCGCAGCUUCACUCAUUGAUGCCCAUGCAGGAGGACUAGGAGUGAUUGGGGCAGAUGUGAGAGGGCACGGCCUCGUCUGUGAGGGGCAGCCAGUGACGUCACGGCUGGCUGUCAUCUGUGGAACGUCUUCUUGUCACAUGGGGAUCAGCAAAGACCCGAUUUUUGUACCAGGCGUCUGGGGGCCUUAUUUCUCAGCCAUGGUACCUGGGUUCUGGCUGAAUGAAGGUGGUCAGAGCGUUACUGGAAAAUUGAUAGACCACAUGGUACAAGGCCAUGCUGCUUUUCCA